ACAUAGAGUGAAAUCUUCUCUUUCCCAUUUCCGAUUUAUCAGUCAUAGAACCUGAUGAAUUCCCAGUUUGCUUUUCCCUGGUGAAGAUGGAAUAUUGUGUUCAGGAUAAGAAGUACAGUUACCCUCAACUUUCAGGGUCCCAGAAUUCCAAGCACUAGGACAGCCAGGAGUUGGUGCACACUGGAAAUGAACUGAGAGUACCUUGGAAUUUGCAUUCAGAAUGACUGCCAAGGAGUAGAUAUCCCUGAUGCAGAUAUCCCUGAUGCAGAUAUCCCUGAUGCAGAUAUCCCUGAUGCAGAUAUCCCUGAUGCUUACCUGCGUGCAGAUAUGGGGCUUCCUUACACCCAGGACAGAAGCACAGUUGAUUGAGGCCCCCAGUACAUGAGCUAUGAGAACCACCUGCAUGAACCCAUGACAUAUGAUUUCUUAAAAAAUUCAUAAA